GGGCCCGCACAAGCGGUGGAGCAUGUGGUUUAAUUCGAUGAUACGCGAGGAACCUUACCAGGGCUUAAAUGUAGAACGACAGAGGUGGAAACACCUCCUUCUUCGGACGGUCUGCAAGGUGCUGCAUGGUUGUCGUCAGCUCGUGCUGUGAAGUGUCGGGUUAAGUCCCAUAACGAGCGCGACCCCUAUUUCUAGUUGCCAGCGGUUCGGCCGGGGACUCUAGAGAAACUGCCAGCGUAAGCUGUGAGGAAGGUGGGGAUGACGUCAAAUCAUCACGGCCCUUACGUCCUGGGCUACACACGUGCUACAAUGGCCGGUACAGAGGGCAGCCACACCGCAAGGUGGAGCG
rnacentral:rRNA from 1 species